UGGGGAAUAUUGCGCAAUGGGCGAAAGCCUGACGCAGCCACGCCGCGUGAGCGAUGAAGGUCUUCGGAUCGUAAAGCUCUGUGGAGGGAGAAGAAUCAAGCCGGUGAAGAGCCGGCCCUGACGGUAUCCCUUUAGCAAGCACCGGCUAACUCCGUGCCAGCAGCCGCGGUAAUACGGAGGGUGCAAACGUUGCUCGGAAUCAUUGGGCGUAAAGCGCGCGUAGGCGGCCUUGCAAGUUGGAUGUGAAAGCCCAGGGCUCAACCCUGGAAGUGCAUCCAAAACUGCUUGGCUUGAGUGCCGGAGGGGCUCAGAGAAUUCCCGGUGUAGAGGUGAAAUUCGUAGAUAUCGGGAGGAAUACCAGUGGCGAAGGCGCUGGGCUGGACGGUUACUGACGCUGAGGUGCGAAAGCGUGGGGAGCAAACAGGAUUAGAUACCCCCGUAGUCC
rnacentral:rRNA from 1 species